AGCUCGAGUUUCUCUUCAUUGUCGUGAUAAAUCUUUCGCCUUUUACUAAAGAUUUCCGUGGAGGGAGCUUUGACGAGUGACCUGUAUUUUGGGGGCUCUGCUCACAGCAGAGCU
ensembl:snRNA U5 U5 spliceosomal RNA